UGAUGUGAUCAUACCAGCACUAAAGCACCGGAUCCCAUCAGAACUCCGAAGUUAAGCGUGCUUGGGCGAGGGUAGUACUAGGAUGGGUGACCUCCUGGGAAGUCCUCGUGUUGCAUUCC
rnacentral:rRNA from 1 species